rnacentral:pre_miRNA from 1 species
AUUAUUAGUACCUGAUCCAAAGUCUAAUGAAGUCAAUGGGAGAAUGUCCAUUGACUUCAAAGGGCUUUGGAUCAGGCCCUUAU